AUGGCUAGGAGAAACGCUGGCGGCGCACAUAAGACAUGCAAGUCGAACGAACGAAGCACAUUCUUAACGAUUGAGCUAAGUUAGUGGCGGACUGGUGAGUAACGCGUGAGCAACCUGCCUAGAAGAGGGGAAUAACAUUGAGAAAUCAAUGCUAAUACCGCAUAAGCUCACAAUAUCACAUGAUAAAGUGAGAAAAGGAGAAAUCCGCUUUUAGAUGGGCUCGCGUCUGAUUAGCUAGUUGGUAGGGUAAAGGCUUACCAAGGCGACGAUCAGUAGCCGGACUGAGAGGUUGAACGGCCACAUUGGGACUGAGAUACGGCCCAGACUCCUACGGGAGGCAGCAGUCGGGAAUAUUGCGCAAUGGAGGGAACUCUGACGCAGUGACGCCGCGUAUAGGAAGAAGUUUUUCGGAAUGUAAACUAUUGUCAUUAGGGAAGAGAAAGGACGGUACCUAAGGAGGAAGCCCCGGCUAACUAUGUGCCAGCAGCCGCGGUAAUACAUAGGGGGCAAGCGUUAUCCGGAAUUAUUGGGUGUAAAGGGUGCGUAGACGGGAGAUUAAGUUAGUUGUGAAAGCCCUAGGCUUAACUUAGGAAUUGCAACUAAGACUGAUUUUCUUGAGUACUGGAGAGGAAAGUGGAAUUCCUAGUGUAGCGGUGAAAUGCGUAGAUAUUAGGAGGAACACCGGUGGCGAAGGCGACUUUCUGGACAGAAACUGACGUUGAGGCACGAAAGUGUGGGGAGCAAACAGGAUUAGAUACCCUGGUAGUCCACACUGUAAACGAUGGAUACUAGGUGUAGGU
rnacentral:rRNA from 1 species